AUUAUGAAGCAUUCUUUGAUUUUGGUGCAAGGUGAGGAGGGCGGCCAAGGGUGAUUGUGAUGCAAAUCGGAAAGGGAUGUUGUAGUUCUAAUUUCUAGGCUUACUAUCUGUCAAACUACUAAUUGUAGUUUUUCUUUGUAAAUUUUACUCAGAAAAAGAUGGAGGCUGUCAAGGUUAAUUACAUUCUAGCCCCAACAAUUUGGGCAUACAAAAACCAAAGUGAAAAUAAUAAUAGAGGAAAGGAGGCAAAAAAAAAAAAAAAACUUGGUUCAUUGGAGCAGAGUGGGCCCAUAUAUGUCACUUGUGGAUGUCGGUUCAUCAUAACCACAUGUUUGAUUCUUUUGUCUGGGGGGACCAUUUUCACCAAACUGGCUAUCGUUUUGGUUCACCCAUCUUUUACAUUAAAAAAGGAGGUAUAUACUAAAUUAUGUGGACCGAAGAAAAAUUUAAAAUGUGAGUUUUUUUUUUUCCUUUUGCAUGCUUUGUCUCAUUAGAUCUUGCCGUCGAUUGGACAAUUUUCAAUCAAAGAAAAUUUCAGAAUUUUGGAAUAUGACUGGUUUUCAAAAACAAUUUUACUCAUUCAUGUGGUAAUAAAAAUGGAAAUAGCUUGGUAAAUUUAUGUGGUUGAUUAUUUCCUUAUGUGGAAUCAGGAUUAAAAUAUGCGGGAGGACUUUUCCACAUUAAAAAAAUAAAAAAAAAAAAGUGUGGGAGGAGUGAGUUGGCAUCAUGACAUGAAGGGAGGGAGUUGAGAAUAUGAGGCAUCUACUCCUGUACAUUUCUUGCCAAAGAAAAGUUCACUGAUAGAGCAAGGAAAAGUUUAAUAGAUUGGGUGCAAAAAUCAGACUUGGAGCCAAUUUUCUCUUGCUGUGCAGUCUCUGUAUAACAGAGUUAUUUGUCAACAUAGUAUUUGGGAGGAAGUUGUUUAUAUCCAUUUUGACUGUUUGUAUUGGCUUAUAGAAAGGUGAGGUGAUUGAGGUUCUUCAUAAGGUGCGUGAAACAAACUAAUCAGAUGCAAAUGUUGGUGAUUUCAAAAAUGAAAUUAUUAGUUAUCUAGGAAAUUUGGCAGCAAUAUGGAACCUGUCUAAUAUGGGUUAAUUACAAACAAAAAUUUGGUGUUAACAAGGAAAAUGAGAAGAGAAGCAUUUUUUUUCAUCAUUUGCCCUGGAUUCUGUUUCAACCACAGUAAAUUUGCACCAAGAAGAGGACAUAAGUGCCAUUUUUCCUCUUGGUAUGCAUCAAGAUAAUAACUCUCUAACUCUGGCUCGAGCACCAGAUCACAUCAAAACUCUGUAAUUAAGCACCUUGGGCAUAAGUAGCAUGAGAGGGUGAACACUUGAGAAGUCAUGUUGCACAAAAUUAAGCGAUGAUGAUAAUAAAAGAAUUAAAAAAAGAGAUGAAGGUGACAGGUAGUUGAUAUUCUUUCUGGGUGCAAGUGAUAUUUGUUUCAGAAUAAUAGCAACUAUUAAUUGCUCACAUUUAAAUUAGGAGCUUGCCACCUCUUUUGAUAGGAUUAGAAACAACAUCAAGUAACAUGACUAAGUUUAUGCAGAUGAAGAAAUAACUUUUUGGUUACACAUUGUUCCAGUUGGGAAUCUUCCUGUUUUUUCCUUUAAGCGUCCACCGUUCUUCUUGGAAACUUACAGUAUUGGGCUGAAGAACUUUGACAUUAUUUAAGGUGCCAGGCUUUUCUGAUUCAUAGGAGAAUGCAAGCUAAGAGAUUGGCUGCUUCUGAAAGUUGUUUUAUUUGAUGAUAAUGCUUCUGAAAGUUGUUAGGAGGAUAAUUAUCACUAUUACAACCACUUCUGAAAUGUAAUGAGUGAUGAAGUCUUUGAAAUCUAUGAUGAUGUUGCAAGUCAACAGCUAGUAGAAAACACUCAGUAUCAAGUAUUAAAGAGCGCCUACUAGAAGCAGGAAAAAAACAAAAAAAAAAGGUUCUAGGUCGUAAUUUUGGUUUUCAGCUGAAGGAUGAUAUGCUUUUUUUUUUCCCAAGACCAUGAGCUUCAAUCAUGUAGAAAUUGUCACCAUCGUGGAUGGACCAUACGAAAGUUCUUCGGAGCGAAACCAUAUAUUUUCUUAUGACGUUUCCAAGAUGAGGAGUUGCUUGACAGAGAAUUCCUUAGACUUGUGCCUAAGGGUUUUUCUGUGGUCCUGGCUUUCCACCCUUCAUUUGAAAACUAAACGUAGUGUAAUUUUUUGCUUCUAGCAUAUGCCAUGUUGCCCGUUACUUGCAAUAAGUGCCUCUUGUAGCUCUAUUGUAAUUGUAACAUCAUUAUAGCCUGUUAAGUGGUCCAAGAGAAUGUCAGUUCACAUGCUCAAGAUCUAGUUGCAGGAAAAGGCAAUCAACUCUAUCCCAUUUACUCUUAUCCCAUUGAUUACAAGCAACCAAUCUCUUGAGUUUCCUACUGUUUCACUUCCAACUUUUUUGGUUGGCAGCUUGACAACAUUAGCUAUCCAAGAGAAGGAACAUAUGAUUCUUCGUUGCCAUCAUCUGAAGCUCAUCCCACAAACCCAAUCAGACUUCACAAGGUCUUGAUUUAUAAUCUUUGUGGAGUCCACUAUGAGAAUGCAAGGGGUCUUGAGAUUGAAACAGAUGCUUGUGCUAGUACUGUAGUGAGGAACUUGGUAACUAAACAUGUAAAUAUUUAAUGUUUGGAACAAACCUUGACAAGCCUACUUAUUCCAAAUAAGAAUAUCCUUCCAUUCCUUAUAAUGAUAUAAUUUUUAAGCCUCCCAAUAUUUCCUUAAGCAAGCUUGGAACUUCAAGGUAAACCGCGACCAGUGUAACGGGAAACCACAAACCCGGUGUUUACCUUGCAGCAUCCUGGAAAUUUUGCAUGAAAUUUUGUCCAUUCAGAAGGAUCACAUGAUCCUCAUGCAAUCUUGACUGUAGAUAAGUUGUUUUUUUUUUCCUCCUCAAUUGUUUUUACUCUCGGAUGAAUAUCAUUUACCCCAAGAAAGCAUGCCCCAUGCGUCAAGCUGGAUCUUCUCGGCAUUAUUUCUGGUCUUUGUAACUCUUUUAAUAACAAUUUUCUUUCUCUUCAACAUAUUUAAGAUCAUUUGCACCUGUGUCAUUUGGCCUUCUUGCCGGUGCAAGGUAGAGGAUCAUAGUCUAAUUGUUUUCCAGGGCUACACCUCAAGAGGUUUAAUCUGCACCGAGGUCUUGGGUAAAUGCGAGAAUAUUGACUUCCAUAAUUUCAUCUUUUUUUUUUUUGAACUUCCCAAUAACUCGGAUUAUGAGCUGAUAAACCUUUUCUUUCCCUUCUAUUGAGAGGUAGUUGUCCCUUUCUCCCAAGGUCGCUCGCUCACUCCCAGUGCCAACCAUUUCUAUAUACUUCUCAAAAUACCGAGGGAGAGCUUGGAGCUCAAUAUUGGAAGGGCGACCGCGGUAGAAAAUUUUUGAGUAAAGAAUGCAGCAGGAAUGAGAUUAUGGGGUGAUACACCUUCACGUGCCUUGGGCCAAAAAAUAAAUAAAUAAAUACAAAUAAAAUUGCUGAGCAAUUAGGGAUUACUGAAACAUCAAUAUGCCUCAAUACAGGGGCAAUAUGCCUUGAUACAGGCAAUACAAGCUCACUUAGCCCAAUAACCAAUGCUACCGUCGCCUACCUUCUUAGCUUAUGGCUGGUCGGUAUGCAUGAGAUCUUAACCUGUGAAUUAUUUGCAACUCAGAAUCUUCAUUCUUUCUUAUCAAACAUUAUAAGAGAUUCGGCUGUCUAUGCAAUGAAAAAUUCUGCUUGUUAUGCUUGCCAUGUAAUAUGGGGGAUCCUAUCACCUGUUCUUUGCUAAGAAAACAGGAUGUAUGUUCAUGAUUUUAUGGUGCUUUUGGUUCGCUAAUCAAGUAGAUAUUGACAUUUUAAAAGGACUUGAUUCCUUGGUCACUUGGAGGCCUUAAAAAAUUACAAGCAUGUUAGGUCAGUCUAGAUAUCUAAUACUGAAAUUACGCUCUUAUAAAAACCAAAAAGUUUGAGAUGAUGGCUGAUGACGAUGAUACGUCUAUUUGCUUUUUCCCCUACUUUUUUAAUGCCCCCAUGUUUUUCUAAGAAUGAUGACCUGGAUUCUAGUAACAUGGCUCCCGCUCGUGUUCUAGUUUCCGAAAGCUUUGUAUUGCAAUCCAAACAGAAAGCACCAGGCAAUCGUCACCAAUCAGGCAAUCUUCCACCAAGCAGAAGAACGUAUUUCUAUCUCUGCAAAGGUGGUUUCAUCAAGGAAAGGCAUUUGUAGAUCUUAAUACAGGAAACACUGGUGGUGUGGGUUCAAAAGUUUCCUUCAUUCAGCAUGCUCAUAGAUUACCGGUACCCGUAGGGAAGUCCUCCAUAGUCCACAUGAAUUAUUUUGAGCAAAUUCCUGGGUUAUUUGGUGGAUUUUCCUGCAUUGUAUUUCUAGGUUCCUCCAGAUAUUCAUCACUAUCUUGGAUUUUUAAUGGUCCUCAUAUCAGCUGCAGCAUGCUCCUGCCCUGAUCCACUAUAUAUUAUCAACUUGAUGCACCUUUUUCUCUGUCAAUGGUAAAAUGUGAACAACCAUUCUAGAUUUGCGGUGCCAAUCAUUCUUUCGAUUCUGCAGUACCAAAUAAGCACUGCGAUAUAACUGGCAUCUCCGCUACAGGCAGUGAAGUUAAGAUUUACCAAGAUGAUACAGAUGAUUCUUGUGGACUUAUUUCCUACAACUAAUACUUCUGGCUUUCACAAAGAUUUAUGAUGUAGGUCAGGUGAGAAUACGCUUGCGGAGAUGUAAAUAAUUCAUAACACAUUUCCAAUUAUCAUGUUAUGGGGCCGAGACUCUCGUGGAAUCCUCCAGUUUUGUGAUCAAUGAAGAAUUUCAAUCUGAAAAUAAAGCUUCCUCAACCACACAACGUAUGUCAAACCUACAUGGUGAAAAGAAUGAUGGUUCUUGACAUUGUAUCGGUGGACCAACAUUAUUUUUGUAGGUUGUUGCCAGAAGAGAGCUGUCUACAAUUUUGAUAACAUUAUAGAUCCUUGAAGCUAAUAAACAAAUAAAAUUUGAUAGCAACAAACUCUGAAGCCCGAGAAAAACUGUUUACAUACAAAACUGCAUAAGAUGUUACUAACAAUUUUAUCUCAUCUUCCCUCUAGCUACAGUUAAACAGUGUUCACAGAGGGGGUGCUAGUGGGGUGCAGAACCAUGAGGCAGUGAUGGUGGUGGAAGCCCCAUGUUGCCUCUUAGAGCCAUGCCAGAGACCCGAACAUCCAUCAUUCCAGGCUGCAAAUCAUCCACUCAAUGGCAUUAGCCAAGCAAAGACGAUUCAUUCCAAAACAUAGGCGGACAUAGAUCAGAUCAUAAGCAAUGCCAAAACAACUAAGCAAAUUUUUUUGUACAUCAUGGGCGAUGUAAAAAGUUCGAUGUGAAACAUACUGCUUUAUGUGAUUGAUCCACAUAGUCACCGCUUCCCAACGCACAUUUAAUAUCUGCAGUUUCACUUUUUUAUUUGAACAUUUUGAAUGACGAAAAUAUCCAUAUUCUUUGAAAAAAAUUAUAACAUUUUAUAUCUAUAUUAUAGCAUCCUACAUACAAAAAAUCAUAAUUUUGAAGUAGGAUAUCAUAAUUUUGAUGCAAAAUAAUUUUUUUAAAAAUAUAAAAAUAUUUUCGUCAUUCAAAAUUUUCAAACGAAAAAGUGAAACUGCAAACAUUAAAUGCAUAUUGAAAAAUAAUUAGACAAAAAUAUUCCUUCUAUUAUUAUGACAUCCUAAACCAUAUUGUGACAUCCUGUAUGUAAAAAGUCAUAAUUUGAUGCAAAAUAUCAUAAUAUACUACAGAAUAUCAUAAUUUUCUGGAUCAUAUUAUAACAUCCUAUGUGCAGGAAAUCAUAAUAUGUCACAGGAUGUCAUAAUUUUUUUUCAAAGAGUAGAAGUAUUUUCGUCAUUCAAAAUUUUUAAACGACAAAACGAAACUGCAGGUAUUAAAUGCACGUUAGAAAAUAGUGGCUAUAUGGACCAAUCAUCUAAAGCGAUGCGCUCCACGUCAGAUUUUCUACACCGCCCGCAGUGCACAAAGAAUUUCUCAAACAACUAAUAACUUGCUCAUUUCUACAAAUUCUAUUUACCAAAUCAUUUGGUACCUGAUAAGCAUUUAGUCCUGGCACUGGCCCUAUUUGCCCACCUUGUGGCCGGUUAGAUAUGGCACCAAGUGGAAGAUUUUGCAGUCCACCUGCAUUCGUUGCAUCCUGAAUAUUUGUGAUCCCAUUUGCAAAAACCCCAAUGGGAGGGAUAUUGCUGGUGGUAACAGGCCCUGAGCGCAUCUGAUUAAGGCCCAUCAUUUGUGCUUGUGGCAUUGGAGAGAGCAUCUGAUUUCCUGAGCCUUGCACCACCUGAAAUAGUAAUGACAGUAAUUAGUCUUUGUUGAAAUACAAAGUUUAUAAGAUAAUGAAAAUUUUCCAUUUUCAGAAAAAAUACAUAAACUCUCUUUAUCACAUGCAUACCAUCUAUUGACAAAUCAUUGCAUUGAUAAAUCUCACAAACUUGUAUAUACGUUUCUAUAACCAGUCAGACCCCUCCGAGUAUGGGAGAAGUUGGAAAUUUGUGACAGCAAUUUUAUGGAUAUGAUGAUCAAGGCAAGACAACAACAGAUGUGAAUUCAUGCAUCACCAAGGAGUUGCACUCGACCAUUACACACAUGGCCAAAAUGUAAAGCAGCAACAAAAGUGAAGAAAACAGGUCAGCAGAGGCUAAUAUCUAGCCCAAAUAUUAAAGAGAAUAAGAGUACAGGCCAAUGGUUUGUAGUUUUAUCAGUCGGAAACCAAAACUAAAAUGCUGUAAUUCCAUGUCAAACCAAUCCAAAAUAAGUCAUUUUCAGAGUUUUGGUCGACACUAACUCGUGAGGCCAGAAUAUUUUAUGUUGGCCAAAUGGAAAGACCAAAAGACUAUUUUGAGGCAUUAUCUUUCUUUAUCUCUUUCCUUUUCUGAGCCUGCUUUUACAUGAUAACCCUUUAGAAAUAAUUUUUCAAAAAAUCAUGCUUGAGUUUUACAAUUAGCAAUCAUACAGGUAUUUGGUUGUAAGAUUCCAGAAAUCAUGAACAUUUUGAAAUAUGUUUACCACCUUGCUGUUUUAAAUUGAUGGAAACUAAAAAGACCAUGUAAACCUUACAAUUCAAGAAAAAAGAAGGGAAAAAGUAAAUGGUGGCUUGCUCAAGAUUCACCGAAGUUCACACUAAUAUACCUUAAUUAAAUUCUGACAUCAAAUGAAUAAAGGGCUACAAACACCUGGAGAUGUUAACAGUUAGACAAUCAUCUAGACAAGGGCAUUUGGAUAGAUGGGUACCAUUGGAUUAGACAAAGGUGUGGGAAUGGAUAGAGCCAGGGACGAAGGCAGGGGCAUGGAGCCUGGCACUGAAGAGGAAUGGAUGCAAAUAUUCCAAGAGGUGGCAGCUGCAGAUGUGUAGGGCGAGGUCCAUGAGGAUGCUGAAGAAGCGGCAAAUGUGAUGGAGGCUGUAGCUGAGCCAGAUGUGGUGGAGGAAGUGGCAGUGAAACCAUUUGCUGUGAAAAUGUCAUAUGUUGCUGCUGUUGAGGUGGGACUUGCUGGGGAAUUUGCUGAAAAGCUUGUUGCCAUCCAGACGCCAAAAGAGAUGGAGGGGGACCUGGUGGAAGAGGUGGUGCGCCACCAGGAAGAAUACCUGGAAUAGACUGCCUCUGUUCUUGAUCUGACCCAUCAAGAGAUGGAACAGUUGGUGGCAUUGCAAUUCCAAUACCAGGAAUAGUUCCUUCAUUUCGUGACAACCCAACAGCAAAUGGUCCUGGAGUAGGUGGAGGCUCUGGUACUGGGAAACCACUUGCUAUACGACCAGCAAGGAGAUAGUUUUGAUCACCAUAUCCUAGAAAGUCAAACAUAAAGUUUUGUUUAAUGAUCUCCACAUAAAAAUAAGCUGUUGCUCAUAAAAUAAAAAGAGGUAGUGCAAUUUAUAAAGAAAGCUAGAAGUAUUUUAAGUACUGCUAAAUCAUAAAUAGAAUGGAACAUAGACUGCUCGUAAACAACAGUAACCUUGAUGACCAAUAACGUAUCUAUCACGACUAGCAUCUCCAGGCCUGUUUCUGCACCAAAACUUUGUUGUGUGAUCAUUGCGACCACUGCAGCAGCACACUUAUAAUCAGCACCAGAUAAACCAUAAUGCAGAUGGGAACAUUUAUAUAGCUAUUAAAAGCUACGAAACGAUUAUAUUUUACAAAUCAGACCAAAGAUACACAAGGAAACAGUUUAGUAUAAGAAAACAUCCACUUUAUUUUUUGCAUGCAUAUAGCAAAAGUAUUUUUCUGAUAACAAGCAAAAGAAUUUUUCCUGGAAGAAGGUCAAUUUUAGUGAAGAUAUAACAAUGAUGUUUCAACAGAAAGAAGAGAUAAUACAUGAUGAUAUCUGAAAAUAAAUAUAUAUACUAGAAAGAAGGUCAACUAUAUGCAACCAACAGUAGUUAUAAGCUCAAAUGAGGAUAGUCAUUUUAAAAUAAAGGAAAGAAGAUGUAGCAAGCAAAAAAAGGAUGUCAAUACACCUAGUGCUACACAGAUCAUGGCCUAUGAAAUUCAACUGGACAUAGUAAGAGAUUUUGACACAUGUUAAUUACAUACAUACCAUACCAUCAACAAGGAACCAGUAACAAGAAAAAGGUAUAUAUCAUGGGCCAACAAAUCCCACCAUAACAGUGAUUACAAUAAUUAUCACAACAAUCUUCAAGAUGAAAUGUCAGCACAACAGUUACACAUUUAUUUCACAUGCAACAACUGCUUGGUAAAGAAAUAUUACUGUAAUCAUUAUUAAUAAAAGUAAAAGUGCAGGGGAAAACUAUGUAAACACCAGAAAGAAGAGAUGGAAGGUAUAAAGUAUACAAAAUGCAUGAUAAUGAACACACAUGGUUCAACAUGCAAAUAACAAAAAGCAAAUGCAUGCUAUUUAUAACAGGAGCAAUCAAUAAUUAUGGAUCAUAAUAACACGAACAGGCAUCUCAAAGGCAAAAAUUAAACUGAAAAGUUGAUACGCAGCAGCAAAGCCAAUCAAAUUAACAAGAAUACCUGCAAAGUAAAUAGCCCAUGGGAUGCCAAGCUAGAUCCCAAACACUGUUAUCAUGUGCACUAGGUAUUUCAAUCUGAGGAGUUUCAUGCCUCCACAGCAACAAUCAUUAGUGGAAACAAGAGCCAACAGAAUGCAACAUCUAGACCAGCCAAAGAUAACAACAGAUAAUCAAGAAUUGCAAGAACUAAAGAAAUGUGGAACGUCAUAUAUGUAAGAAGAGCUUUUGCCUCCAACGAAUCAUGCAAAAAUCACUUGUCAUAUAAGCUGGACAAGUACAGGCUUGGCCAAAGGUAUAAGAAGCAAAGAAGAAGGAUCUCAUGAAGGAUGGGCUAUUGAGGAUUGCUUACCCAACAAGCCAAUGAAAGAUGGACCCAUCAAAACUCCCACUGACAAAGUACUCUUCAUGAAAUGGGUGCCAAGCCACAGCUAGCAGAAUAAAAUUCCAAACAGUAAGUGUAAGCUACUAUAUCAUUACACAAAAGAAAACAUAACACACUUUCAAGCCUCAUUGAUCUUCAAAAAUAAAAAACUACAACAUCAAAUUUUAUCAUUACUUCAUGAUUCAUAACGAACAACAAGGUUUUAAAUCCUAUGGGAUAGGGCUGUCUCAAUUUUCCCAUGGAACGGGAUGUGCCGUCGUCCCGUCUCAUCCCAACACUUGGGAAAGGGAUGUCCCAAGAUAUCCCGAUUGAGAUGCUGGGAUGCUGGCACGGCUACCCUGUCCCGACACGAGAUGGUAUUCCGUCCUGAUAUCCCACGAGAUGUCGUGCCGGGACCUAAAUUCUUAGUGAAUAAUAUGUUUCAUGCAGAUUGAGAUACAUUAUGUUUAAAUCCAUUAAUGAAACAAAAAAAAAAAAACUAAAACCACACAAAUAAAAAAAAUGAGGUGCUACCUAACCUUAGCCUUCUGGAUAAAAAGAAUGAAGAAGCAAUACUUCAUAGCACAAAUUGGUUUAUACACCCAAAACCAAAUUCGGCAAAACUAUUUUCUAGUAAUAUAACAUUCCAUGUACCAGCAAGCUUAAAUUUGUGGUUACUGCCUUCUUUAUUCUUUGCUUCUCAACUUCCGGUUUCGAGACCUCCAGAACGAAAGAAAAGUUCCCUAUGAUAUGUAUCGAUUUGCAACUCAAAAAAGAGAUUUUUGGAAAUUCCCAAUUGCAGUGCAAAGCCUGUUAAUAGAUCAAUUCCUUUCCAAUGUUUUGCAGUACAAUGAUGACAUAUUAUUACUGCAACAAGUCAUUACAAAGGUUUUUUUAUUUGUUUUAUAGACAAUAAAGAAAAGGUGCAUUGUUACACCACCAAUGUGAAUUUCAAAAUCCAAGUCAAAACAUGUUUGCAAACAAGUCUGUGAUUCUAUCCGUGCAUGUGGAAAGCUAGAAUUAUGAUAUUAUAACUAUCAAAAUAACAACAAAUAUAUUA
rnacentral:lncRNA from 1 species